rnacentral:tRNA from 1 species
GCCUGGAUGGCUCAGUAGGUAGAGCAUGUGACUCUUGGUCUCAGAGUUGUGAGUUUAAGCCCUACCUUGGGCC